rnacentral:lncRNA from 10 species
GAGAAAAGCAGAGGGGAGAUUAUAAGACAUUGUGUGUCAAGACCAAAGAGGAUGGGCAUUAGCCAAGACCAGUGGAAAAUUCCUGGGAGAUUCAAGCAGGGCAGUGCCAUUGUGUUUCAGGAAAAUCUCUUGGCCUUUGUGGUUUGCAGGAGGUCAGAGUUGCCUACAAGGAGAAUGGGUGUUCCAGUCUUCCAGGCAAGAAAAGAUGACAGUCAUAACCAGGAGGUCACUGCAGGAGAAUGGGAGGAGGGCUGAGAAGUACCUUGGAGAUGGAGCCAAGAGAACUUGGUCCUGAAGAAAAGAGAUGGUGUCAGCAUAGAUGAAAUGAAAGGAACCCUUUCAGGCAUGAAGGGAAAGCUAACCAAGAGCUCACUCUGUGGAAGCUAAACAGUUAAUUCGCAAGAGGAAGCUGCUAAUCAAAUGAACAAGUGUGAAGUGAAAAUGCCAACCCCAGUGAAGACGCAGCCAAAGCUGGCAAAGGCAAAUGGAGAAAACGCAGGCAGCAUCAGUGAGCUGUUCCUGGAAAUGGAGUCUAACUACAUUAACGCAUUCAGACAGAGGGAAACAGAUGGUCGGUGUGAUGUCCUCAGUCACUUCACAAGCUGGAUAAAUAAUUGUUGCCAGGGAAGGAAUAAUAAAAGCAGGAUUUUGCCAACAUGAGCUGUUGCCCUGGCCUUUGGUUCCGGGAGUGCUUCUGGAGGUUUUUCCAACAGAUUUUUCAAGGAAGCAAAAAAGACAGCAAAUUACUAAGAAUGAAAUUCACUUUUUAAUUUUUCCCACUGAGUCUUCGUCAACGGAUAAUCCCUACCUAUCAAGACAUAUGACAGUUCUCUCUCAUUUCAAUGUUGUAUGCAUAAAAAGCAAAUUCAGAACCUUCAUGUGAAAUGGAAUUGUAAAGGACUCUGGCUGCAACGCUAUUUGUUGAUAAAGCAAAAAUUGAUUUUCAACAGAAGUUAGAAUGAGGAAAGUCAAAUUUGGAGGACAGUGUAAAACCUCUAACAUUUUCAUGAGCUUUGAAGGUAGACUCUGCUGUUCAGAGAUUGCUCAAGACUAAACUGGUCCCUGCCGAGGUAUCUAUGGACUUGGCAGUAUAAUAACCUGCAAGCUGGUUCAACCUGAAGAAUACUCUUCUGUUUUUAUACUUCAAAAGAGCUACUAGAACUUACUUGACCUUAAAAAAAAAAAGUCUUCAAAGUGGAUCUGGAGGUGGUCAGACAACAAGGGAAACACAGGAGAGCACAGAUGAUGUCUCAAUCAUCAUUGUGUCCGCAAUGUCAAGAAAGCACAAUUCUCAUCACAUAGCAAGUCCUCCAGAAAUGUUCUGGAAGGAAAGGUACAAGGAGCUGACAUGAACCUGAUUUUUAACCUGAAGCAGACAGAGUUGGGACCAGCUGGCCUGCAGUCCUGUGAGCAAGAAAUCGAUGUGCAUACUCAUGAGUAAACCAUAAACAUUUGCUGUUAUAACCCAGGAAGCUUUGGGAGUUGAUUUUUAUGUGGUGUUAUGGCAACAAUUGUUGAUGAAUGUGGGUAUACAGUAUUGGAAGUUCUCAUGUGUCUUUGAUGGCCAGCCUCUCAGUGCUUACAGAGCUCCUCAGCCUCACCAGAUAUUUCCCACUUGAAUAAUGAAGUUGUAUGGUUGGGAAUAGACAUUUUGGCUAUUUGGGUCAAUAGGUUUAGGACCUUUGGAGGAUUCAAGACUGGUAGAAAACCACAGCAUGGUCUAAGAUGCAGGUGUUCAUGCCUGCAGGUAAGUAGAUGCAUCAUUAACUUCAAUAAUAAUAAAUAAAAUUUAAAGAGAUUUUUCGAUUAUCAUAAACUGAAUGAACUAAAAUUAACUUUCUAACAAAUAGCCACAAAUUUCUAGCGUGUUUAUCUUUCCCAUAUGUUUCCCAGCUCUGCUAAGUUGGAAGCCUCAAAACCAUCAACCAAUAAAUCAUUCCUUGGGUUUCACUUUGGGGACCAAUUAAAACUAUCAACAUGUUUUCUUCCAUUACACUGGGAGUUUUAUCUCCAGCUGUUGGGAUCUGAGCUUCUAAAAGUAUGAAGCAUGACUACCCAGGGAAAAGGCACGUGAGACAAUUGGAGGAAAAUAGACUCUAUUGAAAGCUAGUUUAUGUAAGCUUAGUGCUUCCACCCUCCUCACUUCAUUCAGAAGGCACAAGCUUUACUAAACAUGUGGUAAAUAAUACAGCUGGCACCACAGCAGGAAAGGUGCUGCCCCUAAACCUGGAGGGAGAGCUCCUGGCAGAUAAUCCAAGGGCUGGUAAUUUAUCACUUAUGCAAACACAGCACCUCUUGUGGGUCUCCUUUUACAUCUCCUGUUCUGUGAAACUUUCCACUGAAGACUUGGAUAAAUGUUUUCCAGAUGGUAUCAAUCAUGGAGUUACCUACUAAUAGGAAUCAAGGAAAAGUCAUUGAAUUAAUUAGCAAGUCAAACAGGAAAGGAAGAAGGACUGUGCUUGAAAGUAGAAAAAGAAGAGACCACUUGGAAUUAUCUAAUCAUCUAGAAACAAGGUCAUUCAGGAAAAGGGGGCUUGAUUAAGCAUCAGGAAACCUGAGACCUGGCCAACAGCCUGGUUCCUCCAAAUCACAGGCUUUGGAGUCUAACAGAUAGAGGUUAGAAUCUCAGCUCAGUCUCUAACUAUGCAUAGUGGGCAAGAUUCUUGGCCUCUCUGAGCCUCUGUUUCCUCAUAUGCUAAGGGAAAAAAGGAUGAAAUAUGCAAACUAUGUAAUACCAUUUUACAGACUUAGAUGUGUAGCAUGUGAAGCACUUAGCAAAGUGGCUACCAAUAGGCGGCACUUAAAAAAAAAAUUCUUUACUCUCACCUGUGAUCAGUUAAAUGAUUGGAAAACUAUUCACCCCUGUCUGAAACUACACCAUUGCCAUGAUCACAUCUUGAGCAGAGUGCACUUUCCCACUCCUUGCUUUGGGCUGACUACAUGAUUUGCUUAGACCAAGCAAUGUGGGUGGAAGUGACAAUGGGCUCGUUUUUAGACCAGGACUUAAGAGGCAUUAUGUUUCUACUUGCCCUUUGCACCUCCCCCAUCACCACAAGAAAAAUAUACCCAGGCUGUCUUGCUGGUCCAAGAAGGAGGAUAAAAGACACGAGAAGCAAAGCUGCCAACCCCAGGAAGCAAAGCUUCCAAACCCCUCCCAACACGAAGACAUGCGAGUGAUAAUAAAUAAUGGUUGUUUUUAGCCACUGAGUUUUGACGUGGAUUAAUUUCAGCUGCUGUAUCUCACAGAUUAUGUUAUCUCACAUUCCUUCUCUGGGUUCUAAUUGCAUAUCUGCUCAGGACUUACUAAAUGAAUAUCUUUUACAAUGCUGAUAUUAGAGGUAAGGCCCAGAAAAUGGCAAGCUAAAGAUGUCCCAGAAACUUCUACCGUAUAGUUGGCUUAAAUCUUAAACUCCAAACUUAGAUGUGUAAGAAAAGUAAUUUAACUUGGUUAUGACAAGACCUUUUUAUUUUUUAACAGUUUUAUUACAAAUCCCCUAUUUUGCUGGUUAGCAGAAACAUCUCUCAGUCAAUUCAGGGUUUCUCCUCCCUUAAGGAUUGGGUUUAACUUUAGGAGGCUCUGCAUGAUGAGGAGGUGGAAGGUGUUGGGAGGGAGAACCAGGGCACUGUCGUUCCUGUUGUUGAUCUCUGCAGUGCUCUCUCUUGGUCUACGUAAGUGAGGAUCUAAAAUCUGAUUCAUUCUUGGGUAAUCUUCUUUUAGAAGCCCAUGAUUAGACCCAACUGGAGGAAGUUUGGAGCUUCUCUCAGACAUGUAAGAAUUGUUCUGAAGAAUCUGCAUCUUGUUGGGUGAAGGACUUCAGAAUGUGCAAUAAAAAUGCAAUAGUCUUGGACCUAUGUAACUGGAAGGAACUGGUGGACAAGCUCUUACUGCUUCUCCAGGUUCUCACAAGAAAGCAGGCAUGGAUUCCUUUUGCACAGCUCCUCCAGGCUUUCUGGGCCCUGUCAUUCCUUCUUCUAUCUUCUGGGUUGAGCAACAUGCAAUCUCCCCUUGUGCAGAAGCCCAAAUAGCUACUGAAAAUGUGUCCUCUCUGACUUUCCCCAUUUCUUGAACUCUGAGAGACUUUUUCUAGUAUCAGUUCUGAGGAGCAUUGCUGUUUUCCUUCCUAUCAUCUGGAAGACCUAGACUUUAAAACUCAAAACCUGAGAAAAACUUCCUUUUUUUUCUCUCUUUUGUCUGGAUCAUCACUACCUUGAAAUACUAAAUUAGCAAAGUCCUAACUAGAAACUGAAUUGGCUAAAGAGUCAAGGAGCAACAGGUAAUUCCAAGAAAAACAACAGCAAACUUACAUCAGUUAACAUUUCAAAGCUAUUUUCCUUUGCAAUUUUGUGUAUCUGUUUUUAUGGAAUGCAAGAGAUAAUAGGCUAAAUGCUAUUUUGCAUAUGUGUUACAUUGGAUUUCUCACAUAUUCUACUACUUAACUCAAGAUGUUGAGUAAAUAAAUGAGUUAAUAAACUGGAAUUUCUAUAUCAGCUCUUGGUUCUAGUUAUGUUUCGUUUGUUUUGGAUUUUUUUUCUUUUUGAAUGCUUAUUCACUGGCCCAGCUGUAUUUAUGCCUAGAUUAACCAGAUACAUUGCCA